CACUGUGGAAGCUUUGUUCUUUUGCUCUUUGUAAUAAAUCUUGCUACUGCUUACUUUUUGGGUCCACACUGGUUUUAUGAGCUGUAACACUCACCACGAAGGUCUGCAGGUUCACUCCUGAGCCAGCGAGACCACGAGCCCACCGGGAGGAACGAACAACUCCAGACGUGCUGCCUUAAGAGCUGUAACACUCACCGUGAAGGUCUGCAGCUUCACUCCUGAACCAGCGAGGCCACGAACCCACCAGAAGGAAGAAACUCCGAACACAUCUGAACAUCAGAAGGAACAAACUCCAGACGCGCCACCUUAAGAGCUGUAACAUUCACCGCAAGGGUCCGCGGCUUCAUUCUUGAAGUCAGUGAGACCAAAAACCCACCAGUUGCGGACACAGUUGUUGUCACAGCCCGGCCUGCCCCAACCUGCCUCAGAGGAAGCAUCGGAGACACUCCACCAGCUUCUCCCAUGGCUUCCCUCAUCCUGGGGCCAAGGCAGCAUCUGGUACAGAGCUGAGGCAGGGGAGAGAUAUCCUUGGAGCCAACAUCCAUGUGUUUAACCUGGAUCCUCUGUGCCUGAGCAACUCAGGCUUCUUCCAUGUGGCAGGGGCGGGGUGAGGCCACAGACAGCUCCAGCUCACAUCAACCCAGCUAAUGGCUUCACAGGAAAGAGGGAAGCAAAAUCCCAGAGAAGUCUGAUUGGCCCGGCCUGGAUCUCAUGGCUGUGGGCAAUGGAAAAGCUGAGGGAACUGGAGAACAGCUGCUGUCCUCUCCCUGCGCACAUCUGUUCUGCCUCAUGCCAAAGGGAGACAAUGGCUAAAGGGGGCCUGUACUGGUCAGGCCCUGCAGAGAAACAGAACACACAGGUUGUGUAUGCAUGUAUAGGUAGGUAGGGAGACAGAGAGUGGGGAGAGAGAGAGGUUCGAGAAAUUGGCUCAUGUGAUUACAGAGGCUGGCAAGUCCAAAAUUUGCAGGGUGGGUGAUACGGUUUGGCUGUGUCCCCCCACCAAAUCUCAUCUUGAAUUGUAGCUCCUGUAAUUCCCACAUGUCAUGGGAGGGACCCCAUGGGAGGUAAUUGACUCAUGGGGCUGAGUCUUUCCCAUGCUGUUCUCAUGAUAGUGAAUAAGUCUCAGGAGAUCUGAUGGUUUUAUAAAAGGGAGUUCCCUGCCCAAGCUCCCUCUUGCCUGCUGCCAUGGAAGACGUGCCUUUGCUCCUUUGCCUUCCACCGUGAUUGUGAGGCCUCCCCAGCCUCGUGGAACUGUCAGUCCAUUAAACCUCUUUUUCUUUAUAAAAAAAAAAAAAAA
rnacentral:lncRNA from 1 species